rnacentral:misc_RNA from 1 species
GUGAAUCAUCAAAUUUUUGAAUGCAAAUUGCACUCCCUGGUAUUCCGGGGAGUAUGCCUGUUUGAGGGCCGUUAGAACCAAAAUCGAAGCGUCGCUCUUUUUUUUUUAAGGUUUAUCGCGUCGGCAUUGUGCCUUCUUUCAAAUGUUAAUUCAUGUCAACUUGGCUUUACAUUCAUCCAUCUUAUACGAUUAAAGCGUAUUUCAGAUCAACUUUUAUUCAUACCGCGCGCUGAACUGACCAUCUCGUGUAG